AGAGUUUGAUCAUGGCUCAGGACGAACGCUGGCGGCGUGCCUAAUACAUGCAAGUCGAGCGAAUCUUGAGGUGCUUGCACCUCUUGGUUAGCGGCGGACGGGUGAGUAACACGUGGGCAACCUGCCUGUAAGACUGGGAUAACUUCGGGAAACCGGAGCUAAUACCGGAUAAUCCUUUUCCUUUCAUGAGGAAAAGCUGAAAGUCGGUUUACGCUGACACUUACAGAUGGGCCCGCGGCGCAUUAGCUAGUUGGUGAGGUAACGGCUCACCAAGGCGACGAUGCGUAGCCGACCUGAGAGGGUGAUCGGCCACACUGGGACUGAGACACGGCCCAGACUCCUACGGGAGGCAGCAGUAGGGAAUCUUCCGCAAUGGACGAAAGUCUGACGGAGCAACGCCGCGUGAGCGAUGAAGGCCUUCGGGUCGUAAAGCUCUGUUGUUAGGGAAGAACAAGUAUCGGAGUAACUGCCGGUACCUUGACGGUACCUAACCAGAAAGCCACGGCUAACUACGUGCCAGCAGCCGCGGUAAUACGUAGGUGGCAAGCGUUGUCCGGAAUUAUUGGGCGUAAAGCGCGCGCAGGCGGUCCUUUAAGUCUGAUGUGAAAGCCCACGGCUCAACCGUGGAGGGUCAUUGGAAACUGGGGGACUUGAGUACAGAAGAGGAAAGCGGAAUUCCACGUGUAGCGGUGAAAUGCGUA
rnacentral:rRNA from 1 species